AGGUGGUUACAGCACCGGGGUUCCACCUCUUCCCAUUCCGAACAGAGAAGUUAAGCCCGGUAACGUCGAUGGUACUGCACACUGUGGGAGAGUAGAUAACU
rnacentral:rRNA from 1 species